AAGGGAACGUGAGCUGGGUUUAGACCGUCGUGAGACAGGUUAGUUUUACCCUACUGGUGUGCGAAUACAACAGCGAACGCUAUCUUAACGGAAUUCCUGUGCAGUACGAGAGGAACCACAGGUACGAACCAAUGGCUCAAUACUAGUUCGACCGGACUUUGGUAUAACGCUACGUUCGUUGGAUUAUGCCUGAACGCCUCUAAGGUCGUAACCAAACCGAGCUGAUAGUGUCUCCUAUAGGUGGUCGGUGAUCAUAUGGCUAAAAACCCGCAAGACUUGCUAGCGUGAUCUCACGCUGGCAUCUUAUUGAUCUGAUCUCGAAGACAGAGCCCUUGCGCGGCGCCGUACAGCAAGUAUCGAGAUACUGGAACGCUGGCGGCGCUGCUCAGCAUCGAUAUAUGAUUUCGAUACCUGAGACCUCCUACAAACGAUAGGUUUACAGGCUGGGAGUUGCGAGUUGCAGAGAGGUGUACAUUUCGAUCCUCUCAGACUACCCUUGCUUGGAGGUUGUGU
rnacentral:ncRNA from 1 species